ACUCAAAGGAAUUGACGGGGGCUCACACAAGCGGUGGAGGAUGUGGUUUAAUUCGAAGCAACGCGCAGAACCUUACCAGGUCUUGACAUACCGGGAUUAUUUUGGUGAAAGCCAGAAAAUUCUCAGCAAUGAGGUAACCGGAACAGGUGCUGCAUGGCUGUCGUCAGCUCGUGCCGUGAGGUGUUAGGUUAAGUCCUUUAACGAGCGAAACCCCUACGAUUAGUUACCAGCGGAUAAUGCCGGGGACUCUAGUCGGACUGCCGCGCAAGCUGGAGGAAGGUGGGGACGACGUCAAGUCAUCAUGGCCUUUAUGACCUGGGCCACACACGUCCUACAAUGGGUGGUACAAAGUGCAGCAAGCUCGCAAGAGCAAGCCAAUCACCGAAAGCCACCCUCAGUUCAGAUUGUGGGCUGCAAUUCGCCCACAUGAAGCUGGAAUCGCUAGUAAUCGCGGAUCAGCCACGCCGCGGUGAAUAUGUUCCUGAGCCUUGUACACACCGCCCGU
rnacentral:rRNA from 1 species